CCUACGGGUGGCAGCAGUGGGGAAUAUUGGACAAUGGGCGAAAGCCUGAUCCAGCCAUGCCGCGUGUGUGAAGAAGGCCUUCGGGUUGUAAAGCACUUUCAGUGGGGAAGAAAGCCUUGGGGCUAAUACCCUCGAGGAAGGACAUCACCCACAGAAGAAGCACCGGCUAACUCCGUGCCAGCAGCCGCGGUAAUACGGAGGGUGCGAGCGUUAAUCGGAAUUACUGGGCGUAAAGCGCGCGUAGGCGGUCUGAUAAGCCGGUUGUGAAAGCCCCGGGCUCAACCUGGGAACGGCAUCCGGAACUGUCAGGCUAGAGUGCAGGAGAGGAAGGUAGAAUUCCCGGUGUAGAGGUGAAAUGCGUAGAGAUCGGGAGGAAUACCAGUGGCGAAGGCGGCCUUCUGGACUGACACUGACGCUGAGGUGCGAAAGCGUGGGUAGCAAACAGGAUUAGAUACCCGGGUAGUC
rnacentral:rRNA from 1 species